AGCGAACGCUGGCGGCAGGCUUAACACAUGCAAGUCGAGCGCCCCGCAAGGGGAGCGGCAGACGGGUGAGUAACACGUGGGAACGUACCUUUUGGUUCGGAACAACUGAGGGAAACUUCAGCUAAUACCGGAUAAGCCCUUACGGGGAAAGAUUUAUCGCCAAAAGAUCGGCCCGCGUCUGAUUAGCUAGUUGGUGGGGUAAUGGCCCACCAAGGCGACGAUCAGUAGCUGGUCUGAGAGGAUGAUCAGCCACACUGGGACUGAGACACGGCCCAGACUCCUACGGGAGGCAGCAGUGGGGAAUAUUGGACAAUGGGGGCAACCCUGAUCCAGCCAUGCCGCGUGAGUGAUGAAGGCCUUAGGGUUGUAAAGCUCUUUCGUUGGGGAAGAUAAUGACGGUACCCAAAGAAGAAGCCCCGGCUAACUUCGUGCCAGCCGCCGCCGUAACAC
rnacentral:rRNA from 1 species